UACGAAGGGGGCGAGCGUGUUCGGAAUUACUGGGCGUAAAGGGCGCGUAGGCGGUGUGUCAAGUCAGGCGUGAAAGCCCCGGGCUCAACCUGGGAACGGCGCUUGAGACUGGCACGCUCGAGUUCGGGAGAGGAUGGUGGAAUUCCCAGUGUAGAGGUGAAAUGCGUAGAUAUCAGGGAGGAAUACCGGUGGCCGAAAGCGACUCUCUGGACGGCAACUGAGCGCUGAGGCAC
rnacentral:rRNA from 1 species